GGUGAACGCUGGCGGUAUGCCUAAAACAUGCAAGUCGCGCGGAUGCAGCAAUGUAUUAGCGGCGGACGGGUGAGUAACACGUAGGUGACCUGCCCUAAAGUCUGGGACAACUAAGAAAAAUCUUAGCUAAUUCUGGAUGUGAACACUGAUUGUGGUUGGUGUUUAAAGCUACGGCGCUUUGGGAUGGGCCUGCGGUGCAUCAGGUAGUUGGUGGGGUAAAGGCUCACCAAGCCCACCACGCAUAACUGGUCUGAGAGGACGAUCAGUCACAGGAGCACUGAGACACGGGCUCCUCUUCUACGGAAGGGAGCAGUUAGGAAUUCUCCCCAAUGGGCGAAAGCCUGAGGGAGCGAUACCGCUUGAAGGACCAACCCCCUCGGGGUGUAAACUUCUGAACUCAGGACGAUAAUGACGGUACUGAGGUAAUAGCACCGGCUAACUCCGUGCCAGCAGCCGCGGUAAUACGGGGGGUGCAAGCGUUACCCGGAUUUACUGGGUGUAAAGGGCGUGUAGGCGGUUUUUCAAGUCCGAUGCUAAAGACCGAAGCUCAACUUCGGGGAGUGCGUUGGAUACUAUGAGACUAGAC
rnacentral:rRNA from 1 species